rnacentral:rRNA from 1 species
UACGUAGGCAGCGAGCGUUGUUCGGAGUUACUGGGCGUAAAGCGCGCGUAGGCGGCUAAUUAAGUCAAAUGUGAAAUCCCCGAGCUUAAACUUGGGAAUUGCAUUCGAUACUGGUUAGCUAGAGUGUGGGAGAGGAUGGUAGAAUUCCAGGUGUAGCGGUGAAAUGCGUAGAGAUCUGGAGGAACACCGGUGGCGAAGGCGGCAUCCUGGACCAAUACUGACACUGAGGAGCGAAAGCCAGGGGAGCAAACGGG